UACGGGGGGGGCAAGCGUUGUUCGGAAUUACUGGGCGUAAAGGGCCAGUAGGCGGCCAACUAAGUCGGAUGUGAAAUCCCCAGGCUCAACCUGGGAACUGCAUCCGAUACUGGAUGGCUUGAAUUCGGGAGAGGGAUGCAGAAUUCCAGGUGUAGCGGUGAAAUGCGUAGAUAUCAGGAGGAACACCGGUGGCGAAAGCGGCUCACUGGCCGGAAUCUGACACUGAGGUGCGAAAGCUAGGGUAGCAAACAGG
rnacentral:rRNA from 1 species